GGGGGCGAUCGGUAUCGACGGGAUAUGAGACAUGUCGGACUGCACGCGGAGGAUGAUAGUCACCUCCUUAAUCAUCUGUCAUACCUAUAUAUGCCGAUUACGGCUACAUGGCUGCAGCUUAGACUGUAGCUCGUUCCGGGUUUGAUACGCCUUUGGUCUGAUCCAGGAGCGUCACUUACACAGGCUAGUCUCAAAUGUGUCUGCGAAUUUGAGAUGAAAUUCAGCAGGCUGGUUCUUCCUGAUUUUUGUCGCUGAUAAAAGGAAGAAUAAGAUUCCAAUCGGACGACUAAGCGUGUAGGCGUCUUGCAUCACUCUAUUUCGGACGGGAGUUCGAUUCUCCCCGCCUCCACCA
rnacentral:tmRNA from 1 species